UACGUAGGUCCCGAGCGUUGUCCGGAUUUAUUGGGCGUAAAGCGAGCGCAGGCGGUUUGAUAAGUCUGAAGUAAAAGGCUGUGGCUUAACCAUAGUAUGCUUUGGAAACUGUCAAACUUGAGUGCAGAAGGGGAGAGUGGAAUUCCAUGUGUAGCGGUGAAAUGCGUAGAUAUAUGGAGGAACACCGGUGGCGAAAGCGGCUCUCUGGUCUGUAACUGACGCUGAGGCUCGAAAGCGUGGGGAGCAAACAGG
rnacentral:rRNA from 1 species